rnacentral:rRNA from 1 species
GACGAACGCUGGCGGCGUGCUUAACACAUGCAAGUCGAGCGGAAAGGCCCUUCGGGGUACUCGAGCGGCGAACGGGUGAGUAACACGUGAGUAACCUGCCCUAGACUUUGGGAUAACCCUCGGAAACGGGGGCUAAUACCGGAUACUCCUUCUAAAUCGCAUGAUUUGGCUGGGAAAGUUUUUCGGUCUGGGAUGGACUCGCGGCCUAUCAGCUUGUUGGUGGGGUAAUGGCCUACCAAGGCGAGGACGGGUAGCCGGCCUGAGAGGGCGACCGGCCACACUGGGACUGAGACACGGCCCAGACUCCUACGGGAGGCAGCAGUGGGGAAUAUUGCACAAUGGGCGGAAGCCUGAUGCAGCGACGCCGCGUGAGGGAUGACGGCCUUCGGGUUGUAAACCUCUUUCAGCAGGGACGAAGCGUAAGUGACGGUACCUGCAGAAGAAGCGCCGGCCAACUACGUG